ACAUGUAAGCAAGUAAGCUUACCUAUUAAUUAGUUAUGUAGUUCAUCAACAUGAAUUGAGACAUUCUGCUUUAGCUACAAAAUAUGUUCUGUAUGUUAUGAACAAGGUACAUUAAGACUUUCAACAUUAAUGGAUGAUUCUCGCUGAAAGUUACUGUGUGCAUCAUCAGAUCUGGCAGAGAGUAUUCAUUAUAACUCGAAAUAAGCUUAAACAACAUCAUCAGGGGUAACAUGAUAACAUCAGGUUUCAUGGUGUACUUGCUUACAGCUAUCAUCAGGUAAAAAUCAUACUUCUUGAACAAAUAAUGAAAUUUGAUGGCGGUAGAAUGACAAAAGAACCCUCAGAAUUUCUGUCUAUGGCUGGUAUAGAGCAUUCAGAGUUAAUGUCCAUGGCUGAGUCUGUGCUUGCUAGUUCAGCGCCAGAUAUCGUCUGAAGCAUCGGAUUAAACCUUUAAAUGUCGAGGUUCUGCAGUGGCGUUUUUGUUGGCUGUCCUGAACUGGGUUAGCAUUUCUCAUAUAACUUAGGAAAGCUACUGAAAGGAUCACACACAUAUACUGCACUCUAUUGGGAUUACUACUGGAACUUAAGUGGUUAGGUUGCAUCCUAGUUACCUGGGCUGUAUUUAUGUUCUGACAUUUGCUUGCCUGGCUCUUUCCUCAUGUUGUGAACAUGGUUUUGUGUAUAACUCUGAUAUGGUAACAGGUAAACAUGUUUUUUUUGCAGGAUUAAUCACGCUAAAUUACAUCUUACUGUUUACUU